GAUGAAGAACGUAGUAAAAUGCGAUAAGUAAUGUGAAUUGCAGAAUUCAGUGAAUCAUCGAAUCUUUGAACGCACAUUGCGCCCGCCAGUAUUCUGGCGGGCAUGCCUGUUCGAGCGUCAUUUCAACCCUCAAGCACAGCUUGGUGUUGGGACUCGCGUUAAUUCGCGUUCCCCAAAUUGAUUGGCGGUCACGUCGAGCUUCCAUAGCGUAGUAGUAAAACCCUCGUUACUGGUAAUCGUCGCGGCCACGCCGUUAAACCCCAACUUCUGAAUGUUGACCUCGGAUCAGGUAGGAAUACCCGCUGAACUCAAGCAUAUCAAUAAGCGGAGGA
rnacentral:misc_RNA from 1 species